rnacentral:lncRNA from 1 species
CAACCAUGCAUUAUAUAGUUUUAGUGACCGGGUUGAGUCUGAACAGCUUCUCCGGCAUAAGAACAACACCUUGAGCAGCCACGGUAACCUCUGUAGCAGCAACCGUGACGGCAAUAACCUCCUCCACGGCCUCCUCCGUUGUAUCCUCCUCCGCGGUGUCCUCCUCCGUUGUAACCUCCUCCUCCGUUGUAUCCUCCUCCGUUGUGUCCUCCUCCAUUGUAUCCUCCUCCUCCGUGGUGUCCUCCUCCGUUGUAACCUCCUCCUCCGUUGUAGCCACCACCAUAUCCAUCGGGUUUCACAUUUUCCUCACUUUCUGACUUCGCUGUAGCUGUCAAAAAUAAUACAUUUCAAAGAUAUUAUUAGCACGUUCAAAUUUGCAUUCCUCACCCAGAAUUUAGAACUAUUUUUCUAUUUGCAAAAAAUAUUAAGAGAUAUAAGUUUGCAUCUCUAGCUAGUUUGUUUCAAAACAUUUACAACAUAAGAUAUACGUUCUAAACAUUUUUGCUCUAAAUGUUUGAGAUGAUCCCGAUACAUAUAAUAAGAAUUCAACAUCAUACUUAAGUGUAUUUUGAUUUUCGUAAGUCUCCAGCCUUAUAACAAACUAAAUAGUUGAAUGAAUCUAUCACCCAAUGGAAGAAGUAGACAGAAACAUAAAAAAUAAUGUUACAUACCCGACUGCCUUUCGGAUGCCGCUGCCCUUUCUGAGACGACGAAAAGAAGUGCAAAGAGACCCAACAGAAUUAAAGCCCUCGAAGCCAUUUUCUUCAACUGUUCAACUCUUUGUUUUAGAACGUGUGAUGAAUAAAAAUGUCACCAUGUAUGCCUCUAUUUAAAGAAAACGAGGAGGAGGGAAUGAGAAGAGUAAAAAAAAACCUAAUCCCUAGUCCAAUAAAAAUAACUCAAAAGAAAAGUUAAGAAAUUUAAUAAUUUAUGACAAUAAAAAUAGUAAGAAGAAGAUAAGUAUCGAUUGCAUAGGGCCCAUUUAUGGUUGGUUGUUGGAAUCAUUGUAAAUAAUUUUGAAACUCCUUAAAUGGCAACUCUCCACUAGUCUUUUAGAUGUUUCUAUAAAACGUCUCAAACACAGCGCAUUCACACGUAUAUAGUCAUAGACAUAUUAAAAAAUAUUAUUGGAUUAUUUCGAGAAUAAUAUUCAUUAUUGGAGAGUUGGAGACUUGGACUAUUGUUUAUGAAUCGUCCUUUACAAUCUCAACCGACAGAUUUUACGCAGAAGGAUAUAGACAAAUCAUAUGGACUUAAAAUCAGUAAGUCAUAUAGGAGCGAUACGUAGUAGUUAAUAAGGACAGACGCAAAAUAUUAAGUCAUAUAGGAGCGUACGUAGUAGUUAAUAAGGGCAGACGCAAAAUAUUGCACGGCUAUAUUGUUGGGAUAUCAAUCCAAGUUUCACAUCUAAAAUUUAAACUAAUGUACUCAAAUAUAUAAGUAAAAUGUUUAAUAGUUUAGUAUAAAAUUUUUUGGAAGAAAUUUAAAAACAAAUCCGUGCAUGCUUUGUCAUUUGAAUCCAAAGUGGACAAUAUCAUACUAAUAGAGAAUUGGACAUGGAUUUGAAAAGUUCAACAAUUGGUAUCAGAACCAGGUUCUGGAAAAAAUGGAUCUGGACAAAUGGGUGUGGACUGUGUGUUCGGUGUGGGAGGGAGAGCCCUCAAAGUAACCUUGCGAUUAGGGUGCUGGUGCUUUGUAUCAAAAGUCUUCCGAUUGGGCUUUUCAAGCUCAUGUCCAACUCCCUAUUAGUAUGAUAUUGUCUGCUUUGGGCCCAAAUGACAAAGCCCGCACAGAUUUAUUUUUGGAUUCGGGUUUGAGUGGUCCUUAGCUAGAGGAGAGGAUUGUUGGGAUAUCAAUCCAAGUCCCACAUCCAAAGUUUAGACCAAUAUGGUCUAGUAUAUAAGCAAGAUGUCCAAUAGUUUAGUAUGAGACCUUUUGAGAAGGAAUCCAAAAACAAAUUCGUGCGGGCUUUGCCAUUUAGGCCAAAACGGACAAUAUCAUACUAAUAAGGAGUUGGACUGGGCUUGAAAAACCCAAUAUGAAGACUUUCGAUACAAGGCACCAGCACCCCAAUCGCAAGGUUACCUUGAGGGCUCUCCCUCCCACACCGAACACACAGUCCACACCCACUUCUCUAGUCUACCUUUUCCAGAACCUGACUCUGAUACCAAUUGUUAGAUUUUCAAGUCCUUGUCCAACUCUCUAUUAGUAUGAUAUUGUCUGCUUUGAGUCCAAGUAGAAAAGCCCGCACGUAUUUGUUUUUGAAUUCCUUUCCAAAAGGCCUCAUACUAAACUAUUGGAUAUCUUUAUGUACUAGACCAUGUUGGUCUUUACUUCGGAUGUGAGACUUGGAUUGAUAUCCCAACACUUUUUAACAGUUGCGAAAAGGUUAGGAGAAGAGUUUCGUUGGUGCGUACGGUGAUACAAGAUGGGUGCCAAGUUUCGCAGGAGGUUGGGAGGCCACGGGUUUGUGUGAUCCUUGGCUUAAGGGGAGAAUUAUUGGGAUAUCAAUCCAAACCUCAUAUCUGAAAUUUAGAGCAAUAUGGUCUAGAAUAUAAGCAAGAUGUCCAAUAGUUUAGUAUAGGGCAUUGUGGAUAAGAAUCCAAAACAAAUCCAUGCGGGGUUAGCCAUUUAGACUCAAAGCAGAUAAUAUCAUACUAAUAGAAAGUUAGACAUGGGCUUGAAAAGCCCAACAUAUAUUAAUCACAGCUAUUCUAAUGGAAAAUUUUUUUAAUGAAAUUAUCUAUUCAAGUCAUUUAAGCGUAAGGCUUGAUAUUCAGUAAAUGAGUUGAGAAUUAGUUAAUAAUAUUAAUAAAGGUCAUUGAGUGUGGACAUGUUAGUUACUUUCCUGCUACUUGCAUUUGACUUAAGAGUGAAAUUCAUAAGAUUGUACAAACAAAUUGUCUAACACAUGAGACUUGUGAUACCAAGAACAAUACAUGCACACAAUAAGCCAUGGUAGCUCAAUUAUUCGUUUGGAAUGUAAAACAUCACAUACAUGUCUAAUUCAAGUUUUACUUGAUAUAAAAAUUAAACGGAUGAUAUAAAGGAUCUAAGAACACCUCCAUUAGUGAGAUACAUCAAUAUAAUAUUAAUACUGCAUUUAAAAUAUACUUUAACUUUGCAAUUUUAAGUUUUCUAAAAAACAUUCAUGAAAAGAUAUAUGUUACAUUAGUCUCUCAUAUGGUUUACAAAUGAUAAUCCAUUCUCAUUCCCCAUUCUUUCUUUAAUAUGAGAAAUCCAGUGAAAUAUUCUCAAUAGAGAUGUUUUAAAGCCUCUAAUUAAUUAGCAUGAAUAUUUUACUUAUUAAAAAUGUAUAAUUUCAAGCUUGUGACUCAUCAAGGAGAACAUCCAAAACGACUUAAUCAUAAGUACGAGUUGGGAUUAAGCAAGAAUUGGGAACUGGACAGAGAGCAAAAAAUUAGAAAAUACGGAACACAAAUAGUAAUAGUUAAUGGUAAUAGUUAAAGGUAUCAACUUAAUCAUAAGGACGAGGGUGAUCUUUGUCUUACACAUAAUUCUUUUCCCCCUUAUUUCCUCUUAGUUUGGUUGUAAGGAUUAUCUAGAGGGUUGUAGCCUGUAGGAUAUAUGAUCUAGAGAUUGUGAAAGAUCUCUCGAAAAUUCUCAAGAAUUAGUCUACAAAAUAAAUUCCUAAGAAUCCUUCCCCAAUCCAAAGGAUCACGCUAGCAAUCCCCAAACCUCCGCUUUUGUCACUUAUCUUACCCUAGAUGGAUCUUCAAUACAGAUCGUUUUAUCCAUUUGAUCAAUACCAUACAAUUUAGGUGUCUUUGUAUAACAAGGCGUAGUAUAUCCCUUAUUUGGUAUUCACGCAACACAAUGAAACACAUGACUAUAUCUUUGUGUUUUUCCACUCAUUUUCGAAUUCUUUCUCUUUGUGUUAGAUUUAUUUUUGAGAGGCUGUCUCUUUUUUUUGGACAAAAGAAUAGAUACCUACAACUGUUUUAUAACAUAAACAAUAUCUUGCAGUCCGCCGCGUUGAAUGUAUGAAAUAGAGAAAGCUAAAACCUUCCUUACACAUGUUGAAUUCCUCCAUGCGGUAUAAACAUCAUCGUCACCAACUCGAAAUAGUCUGUAACAAAAGAUGUUGUCUUCUGAUAUUCGAUUAUACAGUGCAUGAUCCAAAUGAAUGCUUCUACUUCAACGUGCAAAGGAAAGAUUUUCUUGUAGACUUUUGCUCCCAUUAAUAUCAUUCAAUAUAUUCUUGGAAGCAAUGCCAUCCUAGUCUGGAAAAAUUGUCGGUUUAGUUUUCUUGUAAGAGCAGUCUAUGUAGCAUCAAAUAAUUUAACCAAAUUUCCUUGGGUCAACGAUCUAUUUUUUUAUGGGAAUUAUCUAUAGCAUGAGAUGUCUCCCGACCUAUAUAUGCCUUCUUUCUAUAUCUCCACGAAAUCGGGUUAAGACCUAUUUGAGAGAUUAAUAUUUUUAAGUUUGUUUUUGUGGGGAUAUACACAGAGAAAAUAAUUUAAUGUACGUUAACAUCUGAUGAUGGCUGAUGCUACAGUAAAAAUUCUAUAUAUUAAUAAUGUUGGAACUUUAAAAUUUUAUUAAUUUAGCAAAUUAUUAAUUUAUAAAGAAAUUAAUUUAACCAAAAUUUAAAUUUAAAACCAAAUAAUUAAUUGAGUUUAUUAAUUUAUCAAAUAUUAAUUUAUAGAAUUUCUGUUGUAUAUAUAUGAUAGUUCUCGUGAUUCUUUCUAUCCUUUCUAAGAAAGAGAAGUUAUCAAAUACAUUUAAUGGUGGAUACGUGGAGUCUCGGUCAGGAUUGUUGAUCACCACACGUGAUAGUGAAAUUGUAAUUUGGUAAUAAUAAGGGGAAAUGUUCAGCUAAAAAAAUUAAAUGAAACUCAGACCAUGCAAGUGUUGGAACCUUACUCAAUGAAUUGAUUGCUUGUUUCGAUCCAAAAUUCAAAAAGCAAUAACUAUAGCUGAUGCUGACUAUUGAGAAGAAAGUUCUAAAUUGGCAACUCAAACUAACCACAUGAUAGUAUGAUACAUAAUGACAUUCUUUCAAUUUUAUAGCCUUUUCUAUCAAAUUGAAAAUAUGGAAAACCAAAUUAUAUUUUUAAUAUUUAAAACAAGAUACUAGCUAUUCUAUAACUUUAGUAUACCCAGGUAAAGAAAAUAAGAUUUAGAUUCUAUAUUGAAUAAGAAUCAGUCUAAUUAUGACUCAUAUAGUUAGAUUUCAAUUAAAACUCUUAUUAGUUAUUCAGAAAUUAUGUUUUAUAAUUUGUAAGUAAGAAAAUUUAAAAUUAAUCUAUAUUAAUCAUAAAUAACCCUCUUAAAUAAAUAAGAGGUUAUAAGACAAUAAUUUACAUUUUUCAAUUUGUAGUUUCUAUUUAUUUCUGUAUUUUACUUUUUAUUUUAUUUUAUUAGUUUCUUUUUUUGAACCAAAAAUUAUUUUGUUUUAUAUUUAAUUUUUUAAUAUUUAAAUAUAAAUAACUAAAAUUUAAAAACUUAAAUUAUUAUAUUAACAUAUGUUACAAUCUAAACUAAUAAUGACACAUAUAAUAUCUGUAAAAAGUUAUAAUUAUUCUAUGUGUCAUGCUAACGUAGAUCUUACCAAGUAGGAUUGUAACACUAGAUAGAUUCAACUCUGCAUAAUACGUAAAAAAUAAUAAAAUAUUUAGAUGAUCUGGUCAUCGAUCUAGCAAACCACCACAAGGUGAUCUCAAUGCCCAUAGACGAUCCAACCGAGCCAUCCGAAGCUGAUUGGAGCCUUGUUGAAGCUGUAUCGGUGAAACCAAAUACCAAAUCAACUGAGGGAAGGCAUUUUUACCAACCAACCAACCCCAGUGAAGACUGAUCAAGCAAAAACACUUUUGACUCAAACCAGAACUGAAGAUAACCGAGACAUUCCACCUAAUAGCCAAGGAGCGGUUAUACCAUCACCAUCUUUGACCAAACCGGUGAUUCAUGAUCCAAGAACCAAUAUUCAUCGACCAACCGACCAUAAGGAGUAUUCUGUACGAGAUAUUUCAUGUCUUAACCAAGCUAGAAGUAAAGAUAACCGGAGCCUCACCAACCGGCUUGAUUACAAACCAGAUUUUACCCGAGAAGAGACUUGGGCUGAUUUCUUAGAGAUCAAACUCAAUCACCAAGAACUAAUAUCAAACCUGAUUUGCUCUGUGUUCUUGACCCAUUAAGGAAUCACGGUGAAUUGGAAUCAGUCCAACUUACCCGAUUGGAAAUAUGCACCUUAAUUGAAGCAUUCCGACCAAGCCGGGAGGAAUUAAGCUGCGAAAUGACUUGUUCUGGAAUCUGGGUUCAUCAAGGAAUCCGGGAUAGUUGGAAUCACACCAAGUCCGGUUUUCAUUUGGGAGAUACUCCAUUUCUAAACCGACCGAUGGUUUCCCAGCUUGCCUUAUUUGAAACCCUAUGGGUUUAGGAGACACUAGACGUAUCAGUGGCAUCCAGGAGACUGUGCUAUUUCCAGAAGUUCCCUAAAAUACUCUAGAGUGCACCCGUACGCCUUGGAUCAGGCGGAUCCAUCUGUACCUUCAAUUGAACUAACUAGGGCCGAUUAUAGAAACUACGAAGACCGACCAGUUCAAUUAUGAGCAAACCAAGAUAUCACGACCAGAAGAGAUUCUUAGACAAUUAAGGAGCUUAAAAACACCUUCCCAUGCACCAGAAACCACAGGAUCAGACGGAUCUUCUUGCAAGUCCACUUUCCUUAUGUAGCUGCGUUCACAUUAGGAGCCAUAACUUUCCAACGGCUCUUUGUCUUUAAGUGCUACGAUAUGGACAACUUUUUUGGAGAUAAGAAUGUUCCAGAAAUUCUCACUAAUCCUCUUAAACCUUACGGAUACAAAGGCGUCAUCACAAUUGCCUUAGUUGCCGAGACCCUCCAUUAAGAGCCAACAGCUAGUUUUUGAUAUAUUUUUGAUUUGUUCCUUUACUCUAGAUUUUUAGACCGUUUGUAAUUAAGCUUGUAGGAGCUCUAUACAAGCUCAGCUCAGGUAAUUUUUACAAUUCACCUUUAAAUCCAGAUUAAUACAAAGUAUUCCUUUUUCUUUCAAAGUUGUGUCUUUGCAAAGACUUGUUCUUUUCUUUAGAAUUAAGUGUGAGAUUCACUUAGCUCUAUAGAAGCUGCGAAAUUAGUUUGUUUAUGAGAUUCAAACAAACUAUUUCGUCGACAUAUUGAGAGAGUCAAUCAACCCCCAUCGAUUGAGAGUCAAUCACCCUAUCAUCAUCUUUAUCUCGACUUCAUUCCACCUUCCGCAGAAUAAGUUUGGAAUAUCUUCAUCAUUAAGUGAUCAUAAGUUGGAGUGAUUUCAAUCUUGUAUCAAUUAAUAAUGACACAUGUAAUGAUAUAGAAAGUUAUAAUUAUCCUACGUGUCAUGCUAGCGUAGAUCUUACCAAGUAGGGUUGUAACACUAGAUAGAUUCGGCUCUGCAUAAUAUGCAGAAAAAUAAUAAAAUAUUUAGGUUUUCAAUUUUUAUAAUCUGCAUAAUUAUGACUUGUACAGUUUGAUAUAUACUAUUAUUUGCGAGGUCAAAAAUCUGAUGUGUCAUCAUCACAGUGAUUGUCUUAUGUGUCAUUAAUAAAAAACAAUUAUGUGUUGUUUUAAUUUGUUUUGAUAGGUCAAUCAUUAGUCCUACGUGUACAUAUCCAUGACAUGGUUUUUUUUCUUAAUUAUGGGCCAAAGAUUUUGCUAAUGGGCCACCGAUCUUAAAGUUUGUCCUAGCCACCGAUGUAAAAGUCGGUACUAACCUAAACCCUAGCGUAUCCAUCGUGCUAGAUAUACCCAUUUCGGUUUUCAUAUUUUCUUACAUAUAAUAUCUGUCUACUAAAAAAAAAAUUGUUCACCUCUUUUUUUAAAAAAAAACUAUCAUAGCAUUUAAAAAAAACGUCCACCUCUUUUUUAAAAAAAGGAUCAUAUCAUUUUUUAUAUACUCCAUCUCUUUUUUUUAAACAAUCUCUAUGAUUAUUUAUGCGUAUUUCUAAUGAAAAUAACCUACUAUUUUUUGUAUAAUUGAUAUUUUGAUGGUUCUAUAGUUCAUCUCUCGCCUUACAAUGGAAUCGUCAGGUAAAUAUACAUUUUUGAUUUUAUCUUAGUUCGUGCUUUUAAUGUUUUUUCAGAUUCUAGAAGUUUUUCUUUUGUAAAUCCACGGCGUAAUAGUUAUUUGCUUCAAAACUUUUAUGAAUUUUCUGUAGCGAUUAGCAAUCGUCCCUUUCAUGAUCCUCAGAUUUUCUAUAUCAUCUGCCGCCAUCUCAAAUCGUUUUUCCACGAGAUGAAGAUUCUUCUGCCAGUGUUAACAAUGAUAAAUUUAUCGGUUGGUCGAAGUGUAAUCAGGACUAUCCAGAAUCCAGAUCGUUAUGUAUUCUGAAUUUCUGACACGUUGGAUUUGAGAUUGUUAAAAACAUCAUGGCAUCCCCGUCUCUGCGGAAUCUCCACACCGAGUAUUAUAUCCAAUUGUAACCCCAACACUGGUACUGCUUAAGGGUUUUAUUGCAUGUCGUUUGCAGUCCAUGUUCUUAUAUUGAUAUAAGAACAAAUAAAUGGUGUUGUCCACCCUACUUUCAAAGAUGCAUGUUAUGUUUUAGGUUAAAUUCACGAUGAUACUGAGAAUGUUUAAGCUUUCUAUAAGGCAAGUCAAUGAGGUUCCCGCUUCUCUCUCUUCAAAUGAGGUUCACUACUUUGUUACAUCCAGGUUCUAUGAUGAAUCACUUUUGUGUAUGGAGAUCCAUUCAAUGUUUUUUAGUAUAAGUUUUGUCAAUUUUUUGCAUUGUCUUUGAUUUUCUUUUCUUUCAUUAUAUUAUUUUAACAAUUUCUUAGAUUUUUUAUUCUGUUCUGCCCGGUUUCGGUUGAGAGGUUUACUAUUUGAGAUUUUUGUUGGACGUUGUUAGGUAUUUUUAUUGGACGUUGUUAGGUAUUUUUAUUGGAAGUUGUUAGUCUUGGUGCUCAUGCUUUAUAUAUAGAUGAUAUCCAGUAGCUAAAGAUUUGUGUACUUAGUGGUUCGUUUGUUCGGUUGGUAAUUUUUUGUUUGGGUUUUUGAAUUUGGUUUUGUAUUAUUUUUUCAGUCGGUUAGAUUGAUAUUUGGUGCGUGUUGGUUAUAUAUUUUGUGGUUUAAUGAUUACACUAUUAUAUAUAUAUAUACAUAUAUAUAUAGUUGUAGUGUGGUUUUUAGACAAAAUUCUCUUUUUUCAAUUUUUGCGAUAGUUUAUUUUUCAAGAAUGUCACAUAUUUAUUCAUUGAGCUUUUGUGGUGUUUAUGAUUUCUAAUAUGUCUACGGUUUUGUCAGAUAUGAUUGUAAUUAUUUACCUAAGCUCUUAAAAUUAUUAUUUAUUAUAUAAUCUAUACAUAUAUUGUGAUCAAAGUAAAGAAUGUAUAUCCUAGGGUUAUUUAACUAUGAUCUGAAAUUUAGUAUUUAUUAUAUAUAAUCUAAUAAGGAGAUGAAGACGACCAAUGAAGUCGGAAGGUGAAGAUGAUAAAAAUAUAGAAGACAAAGUAAAAUAAAAAAAUGAAAAAAAAGAAGUAGAAGAAGAGGAGAAAAAAAGAUAAAUCAAAAUAUAAAGAAGAAGCUGUAGUUGAUGAUAAAAACUAAAGAAAAAUAUGAACAUAAAUUUGAAUAAAACCAUAGAGAAAAAGAAGAAGAUGAGAACACAGAAUAGUGAAGAAGAAUAUUGAUAAGAAAAAAGAAAUUUGGCUUUGAAUAAGAAAACCAGAAGAAAUAAAUGAAAGAUGUAGAAACAAAGUAAAGACGAGGAAAUGGGAAAAUGAGUAGGUGUAGAUGAAAAAAAAAAGAUGAAAACACUAGAAGAAGAUAAAUUUGACAAAGACCAAAGAGGAAUAAGAAGUAAAGAAUAAAGAAGGCUAAUAAAAAUCAAAAAAGAAAGAAGAACAAGAAGAAAAAGAAGAAAAAGAAGAGCUGAGAAAUAUAACGAUGAUGAAGAAGAAGUCAAAACGAUGAUGAAGAUGAAAGAAAAUUAUGAAAAAUAAGAAAAUCGAAAGAUAUAUAAGACGAAGAAGAAAGUACAAGUCAAAGAUGAUGAAUAAGAAGGAAAAUAUGAAGAAGAAGAAGACUUUGGGACAGAAAAAAAAAACAAUGUCUUUAAAUUAUAUAUUAGAGAAUGAAGAAGAAAGACAUAUAAAAACCAAAAAAAUAAAAGAAUAAGGAAAAUACAAAGAAAAAAAAAACCAAAAGAUAAAAAGUAGAAAAAAGAGUAGAACAAAAUAGAAGAGCAAGAAGAAGGAGACAAGUCUGAAGUGGGAAUUGAAAUAGAAGUUGAAGACGAUGAAGAAGAGGAAAGAAAACAUAAGAAAUAAGAAAAUUGAAGUCAAUGAUAAAGAAGAAGUAAAAGACGAAGAAGAAGACUGAAAAAAAGAAAAAUAAAAAUCAUAAUAAGAAAAAUUAUGACAAGACGAAAUGUUGACAACUAAAAAUGGGAAGAGGAUGACGAAUUUAGAGAGAGAGAGAGAGAGAGAGAGAGAGAGAGAGAGAGAGAGAGAGAGAGAAAUUGUGGUAAUGCUUUCAGGGACAUGUAGAUGGAGAGAGAGAGACAGUGAGUGAGAGAAAUAGAGAGAGAGAGAGAGUAAGAGAAAUGAGAAAGAGAGAGUUAAACAUUUCAAGUACAUGACAUUAAAUCUAUGUUAGUUCGUCUUUUCUGUGUUUCUAUUUUUUUUUAUAUCUGAGACACUUCUUACUUUAAAUGUAGUUGUCUAAAUCGUAGAUAUAUACAACUUAAGACGAGGGAAGAAGAGAGAGAGAGUGAGAGAGAAAUACUGAAACAGAGGGAGGGUAAGAGAGAGAAUGAUAGGGAGGGACGCAUGGAGGGGGAGAGAAAGUUAAAGUUUUCAGGUAUAUGUAUUUGAUUAAUAUAAAAGACGAAGAAAAACAAGAAGAAUAUGAAGUCAGAGAGAUCAAAGAAGACGAAGGUGAUGAUGAAGAAGAAGAAUUCGAAGUAGAAGAGGAAGAAGUUGCGAAUAAGAUGUGGAAAACAUGAAGAAGAAGAAGACGUGAUUAAAAAAAAAAAACUAAAGAAUAAGAAGUAAGAAAAGACAUAUAGAAUGAAGAAGAAAUAAAAGAAAAUGAAAAGAAAGUAAGAAUAUGCGAGAGUAGAAUGAGAGAUAAAGGUGGAAAACUAUGAAUAAAGAUAAGGAAAAGACAAUAAAGAAGAAAAAUCAAAAGAUAAAUAAGAGGAAAAAAAUGAUGAAAAGCGAUUAUGUGGAGUGAUAACUAUGAGUUUUCAAGACUCUUUGUAGAGGUUAUCAAUCCCUUGUCUUGUAGUACAAGGGGUUUAUCAAUCCAAGAAUGUGGUGAUAGACACUAAGCUAUGUAAUCAGGUUCUUAAUUCAAGCAAACAAGAGUGGUUUGGUUAACUAGAGACAACUACAAACUUAAACAGGAUUAAAGACUAAUGAAAUGAUUAAACAAGAACUAAACAAUGAGAAAUGAUGAGAAUGUAUGAAUGAUGAUGAGAAAAGUCUUAGACAUGAUAGUGGAUUAGGGUGCCUUCAGUGAUAAACUAAUGAGCUAAUGAAUCAUAUGAUCAAGCAAACCAUUCAACAUAAACAUCUUUAAUUAAGUUAAUCCUCUCAUGAAGGUAUUAACUCCUAUGCUAAAACAGUUUCUAACCCAAUCAUCAUCAGUGAAACAUGAGUUAACAAGCAUUAAGAAUCAGUUUAAUCUGUCAUUUAAGCAUAUAGACAAUCAUUCCCAUGAUGAAUAACACUUAAACCUAUAACAACCUUGGUUCAAACAUUUCAUCAAACACUUUUGAUGCAUGAAAUGCCCAGAAUCUAGACCACAUAUGAUUUGUAUGGAUCUAGCAUAGAGAACAAGUUGUAGAGAAUGGAAUAUGCAUGAUCUAACCCCUAAGCUCACUAAUCUACCACUUAAACACCCUAAUCUACAUAUCUAAGACCUUAAUAUGGAGAUUACUCACUAAUCAUGAUCAACACACUAGAUCCUUUGCAAGAUGUGUUGUUAAUCAUGAUUAGAAGUGUAUAGAUGGAGAGAUAGAUGAUAGAUUUUAGAAGAAAGCAGCUUUAAACACAAAGAUCUCUUAAACUCUCUUGAUUAAACACUCAAUAAUCAAUAUUUCUCUUCUUAAUGGAGUCUUUUCACAAAAGAGGCAAGAGACAAAAGGAAUAAAGCUUAGUCUUCUAAAAACCCUACAAAGUAUUUAUAUCUCUCUAAAAAACGAACCGGGUCAGCCCGGAACAAACCGGAUCCUGACCCGGCUUUAAUGGAUAAAGUGGAAAUUCUGCGGGUUGGUCCAGUGUCUCCCAGGUAGCAUGCCCAAGUCGCAGUAGAUGAAGAACUUGUCUUGUGAGACUUAAAUCGCCUUGUCUUAGUCGCACGCCCAAGUAGGAGUGUUUUGCGAGUCUUGCUGCGGCUUAAUCUUCUUCUUCUUCAACUCGCAGGACCAAGGCGGUUUCUGGGGAAUGUACAAACCGUGCGGGUUGGUCUCCAUUACACUCAGGUCGCAGGCUCAAGUCGGAGUAGAUUGAGAGUGAUCGUGCGGCUUGGUUCCAGGCGCGGCCAACUCGCAUGCCUAAGUCGCACGAUUGUGGACUUAGCAAUUUUCUUGCUCGGGAGCCUCAGACCUCAUCCAUUGAUAGCUUACCCGCACUUCUCAACUCGCAGCAUCAAUUUCCAGGCAUUCGUCUUCAGGCCUGCGAGUUAACCAAGUCGCAAGGCUUUCUCGCAGCAUUCAGAGCAGCUUGGACCACUUCGCAUUCCGGAGAGUUUAACUUCUAAGAUACUUGUCCGAAUUGAGUGAUUCCGGUUGAAGAGGACAGAGGACUCAUAUAUCUCCAACUUUGGUGAAGGAAGCUUCGGUGCUUGGGAAGUGGAAGGCUUCCUGGAGAGCUCAUCUUUGCAGUGCAUUUACACGAUCAGAGAGAGGCGUCUAGACAUGUGUCAAUUCCGGAGACCGUAUCUUCCUGCUCAUAGCUCCGAAUUGAAUGAUCUUGGACGUUAUGGAUAGAGGACUCAAAUGUCUCUGAUUCGCAUGAAGGCUCAGGAAACUGAAUCGGCCUGAAAGUGCACUGUCCGUCGCAUUCUUCAGAGCUCAUCGGCUUGGUCCAGAACAGCAGCGAGACAGGGGUUCCUUCCGACGAGCUUAACUUUCUGCUCACGCGUCCGAAUUCCAUGAUUUCACUUGCUAUGGAACCAUGAUCCAAUCGUCUCCAACUUCGAUGAAGCACCCGACAACUGAAUCGGACCGGAAGGUUCCCCGGACAGGCGAUUUCGGAAACGUGUCUGCACCCGGAGAUUUUGGCCGAAAGAUUCAAUAGCCGGUACGCGUUUUGGCCGAUAAAGUCUACCCGCGGUACGCGUUUUGGCCGAGAAAAACCUUUCUGGUGCGCGAGAAUGGCCGAUAACCUCCAAAGACCCAAUUUCACCAUUUUUCAAGCCUUGAUCAUCAUUCCACCUCCUGGAUUCAUCUUUUCAGCUCCAAAUACACCUGAUAAGCACUCAAAACAUGCAAAGACUCAUUGGGACCUAAUGCAUCUCCUAAGUUCUAAAACAAACCCUAAGGACCUAAAAUGCAUGGAAUAAAACAUGAUUUGAAAUGAAUUAUGCAACCUAAAUGAUGCAAAUUAUGAACAUAUCAACUCCCCACACUUGUCCUUUGCUUGUCCUCAAGCAAACAAGAACAAAUGAGAGAGAGAGGUUGAAUGCAUGGGAGUUCACAUUUUCUUUUUGAGAGAAGUGAUCACAAUGAGAAUUCAAAUUCAUGCUCAAUUAUGCAAUGCAAAGCCAUACUCAGAUAUAUAUCAACUCAGCAAGGAAUUUCCACAAGUUCUUCUCUCUCUCAACUCUUACAUUCAUUAAGCUUUUAUCAGGUGAAUCUCAUGAUGCAAUGUUUAAACAAGCUGGCUUGGCUAGGGAGAGGCUAUGAGAUUAAAAUGAUCUCAUUAGUGUUCAAGUGGGUUUAAUGCAGCAAAGGGAUCUCUCUAUGAAUGAUCAAACUUUGGCAGAAUACUAAAGGUAAAAAGCAACCUAUGCAUACAAGGGCAAAGACUCAUCACACCCCACCCUCUACUCAAAGCUUUCUCACUUGCUCACUCUCUCAAGGACCUCACUUUUCACACUUAUUUUCCUCUCACUAGGGGACUUACUUUUCACUUUCACUCUCAAGUCUUGGAGUUCAAACUUUACACAGCUCUUUUUCUUUUGCAACCUCUAGCCUCCUUUUCUUCUUUCUUUUCAAAACAUUUGAGCUCUUUGGCUUCUUUUCUUUUCCUUUUACUUAGAGGCUAGACUCUUUCUUUUCAACACACCAGAGCUCACUUUCUUUAACUCAAAACUCCAAGACUGAUUUCUUUUUCUUUCAUUCCCCUAGCUAUUUCCACUUCCUCUUUUCCACUCAUCUCACCUUUUUCCACUCACCAACAAGUCUUUUCCCCCACACUUAUUCCUCGCCAAAACUCUCAGUUCCUUGAUGUUGGAACACAGCACUCAAUGAGACCUGCCCUUGUCGCUCUAAACCUAACACUUUCUGCUAAGUUUGAUCCAAGGUGGCCUUUCAAUUCACACACAAACAUUGGCUUGAAAGAAAGAUGGGUUCAAGGUGAGGGAACUGAUCCAUGAUGCGGAUUCAGCUACUUGAGCUAAGCAAAAAAGGGGGGGGGGUAAAAACAAUGGUUCUAGCUCAAGUAUGUAUAUCGGUAUCCACAAGCUUUUUCAAACAAUGCAUCACAAGAUAUUUUCAAGUCAAGUUCAAGGUUCCCACUUAAUUAGAGUUGAGUUCAAUUCAAACUUGCUUCUCAGAUUCAGAUCAUUUCAGACUUUGCAAGCACAGAAAAAGAUUCACAAGCAUAUUCAGUUCAAGUUCUCAAAGUGAUGUACUCUCUAGAAAAUCUAUCAUUACUCCCUGCAAGAUGCAACCUACAUGAACAUGCAAUCUAGACUCAAUCCUAAAAAUGAGAAUGCAACUACAUGAUCAUUUUUUUUGUGAAAAUUUUUCAGAUUUUUCAUUUUUUUUGGGUUUUUAUAUGCACUUAGAUGAGACUACAUGAAUAUGCAACUAGAAUGUGACUCAAGACUCAAAGUAUAAAAUAAGAACAGAGAAAACAUGGUUAGUAAAAGAUGAAACUCCUCCCCCACACUUAAAUAACACAGUCCCUUGUGUUAUAAAAGCAUGAGAAAGGAGUGAAAGCAAAGCAAACAAGUAAAAAUGCAAAGAAAAAGAAAAUCUACAUGCAUAUUUACAAGGUUUAGAGUGUUACCUAAGAGCUGUUGAAGUCAGACCCCAAUGAGUAAGAGGGGUUUGAAGUGUGACCGGAUGGUGUCUCCCAAGAAUGAUGGCUUGCUUCAUCAGACCCGUCGUCGAGAUCCACCCAAGUUGUGCCAUAUGUGACCAGGGCUAUGCAGUUCAUGGAACUCUCUCCAACUUCCUCUCUGUUCCUUGGUGAAACUGGUGCUGGAGACCCACCUUUGCAAGGGUUUUCAAGCUUAUUAAUCCUCUUCUUCAUCUCCUUGAUGCACUUGGCCAUCUUGUGGAUGGUUUUGUCUUGGUACUUGCACCAUUGUUGGAGAAUACCAAUCUUUUGUUGAGCUAUGAACCCUGAAGUGCCUGGUUCCUCCCAGUUGUAAUCAUCAAAAUGGUAUCUAUUUCCAACAAAACGUUUUUGAGGUGGAGGCAGAUCAGCAUCUUGAGCACCAGUAGCACUUGUGGUAGCAUCUUCAGCGGUUGCUCUCUUUCCCUUGGAGGCUUCUUCUCUGCAAGCUUGCUUGUAUGUGAGGAUUGGUGGAUCAGUUUGGACAUUGUACAGCUCUUCCUUCAGCAAGAAGAAGUGAAUGUUCCUCUUAACUUGGACUGUGGUGAUGGAGGGAUUGGGCAGGAGAGUUUGUGCUGGCUCACUGAUGAGAGUCUUGAAGUUGUAUACUACCUUGGUACCCACUCUUCCUUGGAGGAAGCCAAUCUUACACAAAUGUGCUUCAUUAAUUAGAUCAAACUUUGCCUUGUUCUCCUUGAAUCUGUACCCCUUGGCUUUCAAAAUCUUUGUUACCACCCAUCCAUGGGCCAGCUUUGCAUCUUGCUUUGUAGAACCCCAAAUGCACUUUUUUUAGAACAUCAAAGACCUUGCUAAUUGAGAGGCAAGGCAAAGUGGGUAUUCAUACUGUUCAUAGGGUUCCCCAUCUUCAUGAGUUGGCAUCAGCUGUUUCAGCCCCACACCAAGAAGCAUCAGAUCGCCUUUGUGAACUCUUCCAUCAUCGAUUUUGAAGUAGAAGCUGUGAGAGAGAAUCUUGUGAACAUAUCUCAGCACUGGAUUCCUUAUCCAAGAGGACUUAGCUGUUCCAGCUAUGUACUUCCCAGAAGCAAUUGAUCUCCAUAGAAGUUGGACCUCAUCUUUUCUGAGAUUGACCUGGUUGGAGAGAAGUUCAUUUCUAGGUGUUAACAACCCAAAAAUCUCAUUCAAUUCUCUGAAUGACACUGAAUAAUCCUUCCCUUUCAUAGUAAACUCCAAAUGUCCAAGCCCAUCUCCUUGAAUAAUUCUUGAAUCCCUUGGGUAGUAAAUGAAAGCUUCAAAAGAAGCCAAGAACUCCUGAGAUUCCUCUUCAUAAGCGAUCUCUCUCAUCUCCAAAAGUGACUCAACACCCAUGUUCCCAAGCAAGGUUUUGACAUCUUCAUAGAUGCCAAUAUUCUUCAAAAAGUCCACAUCAGGGAACCUCCCUUGCUGGAUCUCUAUCUGUUGAAACUUCGCCAGAUAAUCAAGUGUUUCUGGUUCAGUUUUCUUGAACCUUUUUGAUCCCUCUUCAAUGGUGCCUUGUGAACCACCAGCUGAGCUGCUUGAGUCACUUUCAGUCUGUUCACUCUCAGAUACGACAGCCAACUGUUUCCCCUUCUUCUUGGAACCAGAAGCAACCACCAAAGAUUUUCCUUCAUGCCUUGUCCUUUUUGGCGCUGGAUCACACUUCCCUUGCUUUGUGGUAUUCUUUGCUCCUUGACCUUUUUCUCUUGGCUGUGAAGACCCUGAGACCAAACCUUUGCCCUUUGAUGCAGUGCUCUUCUUCUUGGCCAGAGAGUUGGUUCUUUCAGUCAUCUGCCAAGACAUUCUCAAAAACAAUGUUAGUACAAGAACAAGCUUCACAAAAUUCUCCAAAAUUUUGAAAAAAAAAAAUUGUUGCAAGAAUCGAUUUUAAAACCACAUGAACAGGUUUCUCAAGCCAAGCAUCAAUCCAAUAAGUUCAUAGCAAUGCAAAAACAAGAGUGCAAAGCAAGGACUCAGCAAUGAAAAUAGAUCUUUUUAAAAAAAAAAAAAAAAUCGAUUUUUCUCAUGAAUUUCUUACAACAAUUUUCAAAACUCAAGAACAAGGAAUCACCAACAGCUGUUUUCUAAGACUAUCUAGCACCCUAGCAUUUAUAAAAAUAAUCCCAAGGUCUAAAACAAUCUAUCAAAAUCGAUUCCACACCUUGAAGUUCAAAAAUCACCAUUGAAGAACAUGGAAAAAGGUGAAUUUUAACUGAAUGAAAUACCUUGGGAUUAAGAUGCAACGAGCUCGAAAUGCAAUCAAGAUGAUGUUAAAAACUCAAAAACGAGUUCAGAGCACUUUGAAUCAACAAAUUUGGUGGAGAAAUGAGAGAGAUAUGAUGAAAACAAUGGAGAGAAAUGAGAGAAAGAGUUGCAAACUCGGGUUUUUGGUGAGGAAGAGAGAGUGUGGGACAGGUUAAAGACUUUGGACUGGUGGUCAAUAGAUCUAUUUUGACCAGUCAAGGCUUUGACCUGUCCUUUUCUCGUUGACCAGCCUCCUUUCUCUCCUUUGUGCGACCGGGAACCGUCGGGAUCGGGCCGCAUGACGGUCUCGGUGUAGAACCGGAAAUGUUUUUGUGCUACCUGGGAUCUUCUGUGCCUCCCCCGCAUGACCAAGUCGCAGUAAAAGUCCUUCAGCUCGGUUUUAUCUUUCCUCAUUGCUGCUGCCUGGAACCCUUGCUUUCCAGCUAGCACGCCCAACUCGGAGUAAUUUGCGAACAUGUGUGCGGGUUAGACUCCUUUGUUCCCAGGUAGCAUGACUAUCUCGCAGGGUUUGGGACUUAAAAACCUCGGGGUUCCUCUUCUGGUGCGGCCUGGCCUCCAUACUUCCCAGGUAGCACGCCCAACUCGGAGUAAUUUGCGAGUCUUCAUGCGGGUUAGCUUCUUUGUUCCCAGGUAGCAUGACUAGGUCACAGGUUUUUGGACUUAAACAAUUUGGCCUUUCUUUUCCUGCUGCGACCUGGUCUUCAUGCUUCCCAGCUAGCACGCCCAACUUGGAGUAAAAUGCGAUCAUACGUGCGGCCUAGCUUCUUUGUUCCCAGGUAGCAUGACUAGGUCGCAGGUAUUUGGACUUAAGAUGUCUCGGCCAUUCCUCUUUUGCUGCGACCUAGUCUCCUUGCUCCCAGCCAGCACGCCCACCUCGCACACCUUCACACUUAGGCGUUUGGCUCUUCUUGAUUUCGUGCAGCCUGGUCUCUAUGAUUCCCAGCUAGCACGCCCAACCCGGAGUGAUUUGCGAAUGGAUGUGCGGUUUAACUUCUCUUGUUUCCAGGCCGCAGCAACUACUCGCAGGUUUUUGCACUUAAACACCUCGGCCAUCCUUCUUUUGCUGCAACUUGGUCUUCAUUCUUCCCAGGUAGCACACCCAAUUCGGAGUAAAUUGCGAUCAUGUGUGCUACCUAACUCCUUUGUUCCCAGGCCACAGCUCCUACAUCGCAGAUCUUUGGACUAAAGAUACCUUGGACCUUUUCUUUUUGGUGCGGCCUGGUUUCUCUUUUCCCAGCCAGCACGCCUAACCCGGAGUGAUUUGCGAAUGGAUGUGCGGCCUAGCUUCCUCUCUUCUUACCCGCAGCACCAGCUAGCACAACCUCGGACUUAGACGUUUUGGACUUCUUCUUUUUGGUGCGGCCUGGUUUCUCUUUUCCCAGGUAGCACGCCCAGGCCGGAGUAAAUUGCGAGUCCUGCUGCGACCUGGGCUCUUCUUGCACCAAGCCGCACACCUAGGUAGCACUGAGGCGUUCUCCAAGUUUUUCAGGCCCUAAAUACUUCUCUCAGCCCUCUCACAUGCUCCAUUCCAUUCAUCACUGAGCUAUGUUCUCCAAAAAUCACCUAGAACCUGAGACCAACUCACAAAACCCAUCAAAAAGUUCUAAAACAUAAAAGAAAAGAGAAGAAAUCAAAAGAACUAUGUACAAAGAUAAGCUUGGGGUGUCUCCCAAGAGCACUUUGUUUAAAGUCUCUAAGUUUGACUAUGGAAACCUGUUUAGCAGGCUGGAGGUGGGUCAAGAAGGGGAACUGAUGUAGCUUCCUCCUUCCCUUGUGAAACUAAGUAAUGCUUGAUUCUUUGUCCGUUUACCACAAAUUCUUGACCAUUCUUCCCUUCUAAGACAAUAGCACCAUAUGGUCUCACUUCAAGAACUUUAAAAGGUCCAGACCAUCUAGACUUAAGUUUUCCUAGAAACAACUUAAGUCUAGAGUUGAACAGCAACACCAAAUCACCAUCCUUGAACUCCCUUUUCAGAAUCUUUUGGUCAUGCAGAACCUUGGUCUUCUCCUUAUAGAUCUUUGAGCUCUCAAAAGCCCCAAGCCUUAUCUCUUCAAGUUCAUGGAGUUGAAUGACCCUUUUCUCUUGAGCUGUCUUGAUAUCAAAGAUCAGCAACUUCACAGCCCACAAAGCCUUGUACUCUAACUCAACAGGAAGGUGGCAGCUCUUCCCAUAUAGCAGAUUGAAAGGUGAUGUCCCAAUAGGAGUUUUAAAGGCAGUCCUAUAAGCCCACAAUGCAUCAUCUAGCCUUUUGCUCCAAUCUUUUCUGCUUGAGCUCACAGUCCUCUCAAGAAUGGCCUUGAUCUGUCUAUUAGAUACUUCAACCUGGCCACUAGUUUGAGGAUGAUAAGGAGUAGCUACCUUGUGUUUCACUCCAUGCUUUCUCAGUAAACCCUCCAAAGUCUUGUUCACAAAAUGAGAUCCUCCAUCAGAGAUAACAACCCUUGGAACUCCAAAUCUUGGGAAGAUAAUGCUCUUGAACAGCUUCACUACAACCUUGGAAUCAUUGGUAGGGGAAGCAAUGGCCUCAACCCAUUUGGACACAUAGUCCACAUCAACAAGUAUAUACUGAUUCCCAUAGGAUGAAAUGAAAGGCCCCAUAAAGUCAAUCCCCCAGCAAUCAAAGAUCUCAACUUCUAGAAUUGGGUUUUAAGGCAUCUCACUCCUCUUUGAUAUGCUCCCAUGCCUCUGACAAGCAUCACAUGCUGAACCACUAACUGAGCAUCUUUGAACAUUGUGGGCCACCAAAACCCACUCUGAAGAACCUUUGCCACAGUCUUGAAUGCUCCCAUGUGACCCCCAAAAGCUGAACUAUGACACUCUUGCAACACAGGCUGCAUCUCCUCCUCAGCAAGACACCUUCUAUACAGCUGAUCUUUGUUCAGGACAUAGAGGUAGGGCUCAUCCCAAUGGUAUCUUUGAACUUCUCUGAAGAAUUUCUUCCUGUGGUAAGCAUCUAAUUCAGGUGGUUCCACUCCACAAGCAAGAUAGUUCACAAUGUCUGCAAACCAAGGCAUCCUCCUCUCUUGAAUGCUGUCCACUUCUUCAAACUCCAAAUAAGAAUGGAGCACCAUCAGUGAUUCCUCAGGAAGACUGUCAUUAAGAGGCAAUUCAGAGUCUAUUCUCAACCUAGAGAGAUGGUCUGCAGCUCCAUUCUCUAUACCCUUUUUGUCAUGUACUUCCAUAUCAAAAUCCUGAAGUAGAAGAACCCAUCUCAAUAGUCUUGGCUUAGCAUCUUUCUUGGUCAUCAGAUACCUGAGGGCUGCAUGAUCAGUAUAUACAAUUACUUUUGAUCCCACCAGGUAACUUCUGAAUUUAUCGAAGGCAAAGACUAUUGCCAACAUUUCCUUCUCAGUAGUAGCAUACUUCUCUUGUGCAGGGCCAAGUGUUCUACUAGCAUAGUAAAUGACAUGAAGCUUCUUAUCUUUCUUCUGGCCAAAUACAGCUCCAACUGCAAAAUCAGAUGCAUCAGUCAUAACCUCAAAAGGUAGGGACCAGUCUGGGGCUUGGACAAUUGGUGCACUGACUAAUGCAUCCUUGAUCAUCUUGAAGGCCUCUUCACAUUCAGCAUCAAAGAUGAAAUCCACUUCUUUACAAAACAGCCUUGUCAAGGGCCUGGCAAUUCUUGAGAAGUCUUUGAUAAAUCUUCUGUAAAACCCUGCAUGCCCAAGGAAACUCCUUAUCCCUUUAACUGAAGUGGGAGUUUGCAGAUUCACCAUCACUUCCACCUUUGCUCUGUCAACCUCAAUACCCUUCUCAGAUAUCUUGUGCCCAAGAACUAUUCCUUCCCGCACCAUGAAGUAGUAUUUCUCCCAGUUUAACACCAAGUUAUCCUGCUCAAAUCUCUCCAAGACCUGUUACAAAUUAGAGAGAAAAUCCGAGAAGGAGGAGCCAUAGACACUAAAGUCAUCCAUGCACACCUCCACCUUCUCUUCAAUAAUGUCAGAGAAUAUAUGCAUCAUGCAACGUUGAAAUGUGGCAGGGGCAUUACAGAGACCAAAAGGCAUUCGCCUGUAUGCAAAGGUGCCAUAAGGGCAUGUGAAUGUUGUUUUCUCUUGAUCUCGGGGAUCUAUGGGAAUUUGGAAGAACCCCGAGUACCCAUCGAGAAAACAAAAGAAGGGGUGUUUUGCAACGCCUCUCUAACAUCUGAUCAAUGAAAUGUAAGAAACUAUCCUUCCUNNNNNNNNNNNNNNNNNNNNNNNNNNNNNNNNNNNNNNNNNNNNNNNNNNNNNNNNNNNNNNNNNNNNNNNNNNNNNNNNNNNNNNNNNNNNNNNNNNNNNNNNNNNNNNNNNNNNNNNNNNNNNNNNNNNNNNNNNNNNNNNNNNNNNNNNNNNNNNNNNNNNNNNNNNNNNNNNNNNNNNNNNNNNNNNNNNNNNNNNNNNNNNNNNNNNNNUCGUAGUAGUUAAGUGUAUCCUAUGGCUCUCCUGAACUUUCUUAUCUCACUAAGCAAUGCACUCUCUUGAUCCUCUAAUAGGCUAUCAUUGAUGAUUACUGGAUAUGUUGAGUUUAAGCCCAAGAAGGCAUACAUGAGCCCUGUUGGUAGAGGCUUGAGCUCAACAGGGGGUGCAUCAGCCUCAUUCCAAUCCUGGUCCAAGCUGCUUUGGCUGGUGUCUGAUCCUUUGAUAGCAAAAACCUCAGAGCCACUUUGUUCCAGCUCCAAAAACCUUGUCUCAGGACCCAGCUCUCUAGCAUUGUCCAAAUACAACUUGUACCCUUCACUUGCUUCAGCUAAGAGCCCAUUGUCUCCUUGUUCUUGAGUUAGAGCAGCUUGAAGAGGAUCCUCAGUGUUCAGCUCCUCUAGCAACUCAUCAGCCAACUGAUCCAUUGUCUCCACAUAGAAACAUUGACCUUCAAUGGUGGGUUUCUUCAUCAUCUCAUUCACGUCAAACUUGAGCUUUUCAGACCCAAGUUGAAGCUCUAUUAUCCCACCUCUCACAUCAAUUUUGGCUCCUGCAGUUGCUAAGAAUGGCCUGCCCAAGAUAAGAGGAUCUACUGGUUCUUCAUCCAUCUCCAGCACAACAAAAUCAGUUGGAACCUCAAAACCACCUAUCUUGACAGGUAGAUCUUCCAACAUACCAACAGGCAAUCUAACUGAUCUAUCUGCAAGGAUAAGAGAAAUCCUUGCAGGCUUGAAGACUCUAAAGCCCAGCUUCUUUGCUAUGGAGAAUGGCAUCAAGCUGACUGAUGCUCCUAGAUCACAAAGACAUCCAGAGAAUAGAAGAGGUCCAAUGGCACAAGGGAGUGUGAAACUCCCUGGAUCAGUUAACUUUCUUGGUAUGGACUUCUUCUGAAUGAUAGCACUGCAUUCAUGACUUAGUACCACCAUGCCUUGAAGUUUUUUUGUCUUGUUCAGAAUGGCAUCCUUCAGGAACUUGCCCAUCUAUGGCAUCAUUAAGAAUGCAUCAAUAAGAGGCAUAGUGAGUGGUGUCUCAUUGAGUGCCUUCUCAAAUACAGCUUUUGCCUUGUCCACAAGCUGCUUCUUAAAUCUCCCUGGAAAUGGGAGCUUGGGUUGGUAUGGAGGUGGUGGCACAUAUACCUUUUCUGGUUCAGGUUCCUUUGCUACCUUUUUACUCUUUUGGACAGGUUUCUCAGCAACCUGAUCAUCUUUUAAGGCUGCCUCCCCCUCAGUUUGAUCAUUGUCCUCAAUGAUCACAUUGUUGUUCUCAAUACCAGGUAACUCCUUUCCACUCCUCAGUGUAAUGGCCUUAGCAUAUUCCUUGGGGUUGGGUUCUCCGGUCUGAUUCAGUUGUCGGGUGCUUCAUCGCAGUUGGAGAAGAUUGGAUCACGGUUCCAUAGCAAGUUGAAUCAUGGAAUUCCGACGCAUGAGCAGAAAGUUAAGCUCGUCGGAAGGAACCCCUGUCUCGCUGCUGUUCUGGACCAAGCCGAUGAGCUCUGAAGAAUGCGAAGUACGGUGCACUUUCAGGCCGAUUCAGUUUCCGGGGCCUUCAUGAGAAUCAGAGACAUUUGAGUCCGCUUUCCAGAACGUCCAAGAUCAUUCAAUUCGGAGCUAUGAGCAGGAAGAUACGGUCUCCGGAAUGGACACAUGUCUAGACGCCUCUCUCUGAUCGUGUAAAUGCACUGCAAAGAUGAGCCCUCCAGGAAGCCUUCCACUUCCCAAGCACCAAAGCUUCCUUCACCAAAGUUGGAGAUAUAUGAGUCCUCUGUCCUCUGCCCUCUGCUACCGGAAUCACUCAAUUCAGACAAGUAUCUUAGAAGUUACACUCUCCGGAAUGCGAAGUGGUCCAAGCUGCUCUGAAUGCUGCGAGAAAGCCUUGCGACUUGGUUAACUCGCAGGCCUGAAGACGAAUGCCUGGAAAUUGAUGCUCCAAGUUGAGAAGAGCGGGUAAGCUAUCAAUGGAUGAGGUCUGAGGCUCCCGAGAAAGAAAAUUGCUAAGUCCACAAUCGUGCGACUUAGGCAUGCUAGUUGGCCGCGCCUGGAACCAAGCCGCACGAUCACUCGCAAUCUACUCCGACUUGAGCCUGCGACCUGAGUGUAGUGGAGACCAACCCGCACGGUUUGUACAUUCCCCAGAAACCGCCUUGGUCCUGCGAGUUGAAGAAGAAGAAGAUUAAGCCGCAGCAAGACUCGCAAAUGGUGGUUGAAACUGUUGUUGAACAGGCGCUUGCUGUUGGAACUGUGGAGGACCAAACCCUGGUGGUGCCUUUUGCUGCUGUGUACUGAAACUAGGACCUUGAAAAGGUUGUUGUUGCUGACCAAAACCUUGAUUCUGAGCAAACUGAUUCUUUGGUUGAAAAGAUCCUUGAAAGUUGUUCUUGGGAACAAAGUUCUGUGGAGCUUGAGAAUUGGGAUACACCUGGUCUUGUGGGUUAGCUACAUUGGUGUUCCUGUAAGAAAGGUUUGGAUUGGCAUUACCAUACUGAUAUCUCUGGAACCUCUGAUUCCCAAUGUAGUUUAGCUCCUCCU